GUUAACGAGAGAUUACGAAAACUACAAAAAAAAUAUUGUAAUAUACGAUGAAUUCUUUAAUUAAUUCAAAAGCAAUGGUGUUCAACCACCGAGCAGCAAUACGCCAGUAUUGCUGCUUUAAAUUGUGGUAUAAGACCAAUCAAGUAAAUGGUAGCUUAGCAUUUAUCUGUAUGGGUAAAAGAGACCUAAGGAAUAAUAGAUUAUUGUUGCACUCUACUGUAACAGAUAAUUUUAAUAAUAGUAAUUUAUCAUAUGUACAAUUUCGUACAUUUUAUGUAACACCAACAUGGAAGAAGAGUCAGGAGUCAUCUUCCAAGGUGGAAGAUACUGUGAAAAAUAUUAAGGAACAAAAUCAGAUCAAAGAAAAAACACAAGGAACUGUUGUACAGAGUGCUACUGUUCCAAAAGCAUUAAUAGAGAAGCCAUCAAUAUGGCACAGAGUUAAAGCUGAAAUUAUACAUUAUUACCAUGGAUUUAGAUUAUUGGGCCUUGAUAUGAAAAUUUCUGCAAAAUUGGUAUGGAGAAUUCUACAGGGCAAAGAACUUAGUAGAAGAGAACACAGGCUUCUUAUAAAAACAACAGGAGAUCUGUUCAGACUUAUUCCUUUUUCUGUUUUUAUCAUUGUUCCCUUCAUGGAAUUUUUGCUCCCAGUUGCUAUUAAACUUUUCCCUGGUUUACUGCCAUCUACUUUCCAAACAGCAGUAGAGAAGGAGGAUAAAUUAAAGCAGGCAUUAAAGAUAAAAAUUGAAAUGGCCAAAUUUUUGCAAAAAACAUUGGAUGAUAUGGCAGUACAAUCUUCCGACUAUAAAUCGAAAAAGGCUAAAGAAUUUGCCGAAUUUUUCUAUAAAGUUCGAUCUUCGGGCGCUGUAGCCUCUAAUGAAGAAAUCAUGCAGUUUAGCAAACUUUUCGAAGAUGAGAUUACAUUAGAUUCCCUUACUCGACCACAAUUAGUUGCGUUAUGUAGAGUAUUAGAUGUGCAAACUCUUGGAACGUCGAACUUUUUACGAUUUUUACUUAGAAUGAGGCUCAGAAGUCUCACUGCAGACGAUAAACUAAUUGAAAAGGAGGGUAUAGAUUCACUUACUAGAAGUGAAUUGCAACAAGCUUGUAGAGCACGCGGAAUGCGCGCAUAUGGUUUGCCAGAUAGUAAAUUAAAGGAACAAUUGUCUCAGUGGUUAGAUUUAAGUUUAAUUAAAAAAGUUCCACCUUCGUUAUUGCUCCUUUCACGAGCGCUUAUGGUUCCGGAAACUAUACCUAUGUCAGACAAAUUGAAGGCUACUAUCUCAGCCCUUCCUGACACUGUCGUUGCUCGUACUCAAGGUGCUAUAGGAGAAAAAGAAGGUAAAAUGGAUCACAAGACGAACAUUGAAAUUAUUAAAAUGGAAGAACGUAAAAUCGAGGAGGAACGUCAAGAGAAAGAACCGCAUGUCGUUCUUCAGAGUCACAAGAAAGACGAGAUUACAAAGUCAGAUGUAAAAGUAAUAGAGCAGGCUCUAGAUUCACUUGGAAAGGAAAAGAAUAUAUCUGUUGAGAAAGAAGAAUUGAAAGAACUUAAAGAAGAAAUGGCCGAGUAUCAAGAAGAUAUUAAAGAAUUUUAUGAAAUUAAGGCUGCUGCAAAGGGCCAAAAAGAUAUAGAAAGUAUCAAAGUAUCCAAAGGUGCUACACGUUUGUUUAACAAAGUGAAUAAGAUGAUUAAUAAGAUGGACGCUGUCUUAACUCAACUUGAAUCCGAGAAACAAGAGAAGGAGUCGCUAAAGAUAGAUAUCGUUGAUAAGGAAAGUAGUACUAAAAAAGCUGCUGAGGAGUUGGUUAAGAUAGACGAAUUGAUCUCAGCUAUAAAAAAAAUUCAAAGUGUACCUGAUGAAAAUCGAUUACAACGCAUAGCUGAAAUUUUAGCAAAAAUUGACGAUGAUAGAGAUGGUGCUAUAAAACUUGAAGAUGUUUUAAAGGUAGUAGAACUAAUUGGAAAAGAAGAUAUCAAGUUAAGUAAACAGCAAGUGGACGAAUUGAUUGAAUUGAUUGAUAAAGAAGAAAUUUUGGAAGUAGAAGAACAAAUCCAGAAGACGUUGCGAAAAGAGUGUGAACUUAAAGAUGGAAAUUGUACUGCCACGAACUACGUUGCGCCUAAAUCACCAGUUUCUGCUACACCAGUGACGACUGAAAAGGGUUUCGGUAAAGAAGAAUUAAAUGAUAAUGUUGGAGAUUCGAAGAAAAGUUAUACACACUCAUCCGAGCAAGAAAGAGAAAAAUCAGCUGCAGUUCUUAAAAGUAAUUCCAAUUCUAACGCAGUCAGAAAUCCUCCGUUGACUCCCGGCGUUCCACCACCGGCAAAAAAAGCGGAAGGUUCUAAACAGCUGUGAUUACCGCACAAUGAAAUAUAUCAUUAAUAAUUCUAAUGCAUAAAUGCUGUAGGCCACUUCUGUUUUGCUUUAUAACAGAAACUAUCCACCUCUGUAAUUGAGGUUGAAACAAGAUGUACAUUUAUAAAUAAAAUAAUUAAUUGCCGAGUACAUAACACAGAAUUAGCGAUUACAUGUAUGUACUGAUUACAUAAAAACACGAUUAUGUAAUACAGUGUACAACAUUUUACUGAUAAGGCAAAUGUAAAUUUACAAAUUACAUGUUUACUGAAUGUUAAUCAACUGAAGGAAAAACAGGAAUGGUAAUCAUGCCCGGGA